CUGGCUGGCAGUCUGUGGGCUUGCUGGCUGCGGCUGGCAGGUUGUGGGCUUGCUGGCUACUGCCGGCAGGCUGUGGGCUUGCUGACUGCGGCUGGCAGGCUAUGGCUUGCUGGCUGUAAGCCUGUGGCUUGCUGUAGGCCUGUGGGCUGGCUACUGGCCAGCCUGUGGGUUGGCUGGCUGGCUACUGGGGCACUUGUAGAUUAUUUAAAGAAAUAAUCCAUGCACAAUAACCACU